GUCUAUGGCCUAGUGGGCAAGGUUACAGUCUUGGGACCAGGGGGUUGUAGGUUCAAGCCCACCUAGGAGCA
rnacentral:tRNA from 1 species